rnacentral:rRNA from 1 species
UCCUUAGAUGUUCUGGGCCGCACGCGUGCUACACUGAGUGGAUCAGCGGGUCAGGUUGCGCGAAAGCGUUUCCUAAUCUUUAAAUCCGCUCGUGAUGGGGAUUGACGGUUGCAAUUUUCUGUCAUGAACGAGGAAUACCUUGUAAGCGCGGGUCAUCAUCCCGCGCUGAAUACGUCCCUGCCCUUUGUACACACCGCCCGUCGCUACUACCGAUUGAACGGUUUAGUGAGGGCCUCGGAUUGGUCUCGGCCCGCUCUUUACCGGGCGGCGCCGUUGGUCGAGAAGACGCUCGAACUUGAUCGUUUAGAGGAAGUAAAAGUCGUAACA